rnacentral:lncRNA from 1 species
GAGAAGAAAAUGAGAAAAAACUUAUAGAAUACAUUAAUUGGCAACAUUUCAUUUUUAUGGAGUCAAACUACUAAUUAACUCCACACAAACUUCGGAUAAAUUAAACUAAAUACAUUACAUCCAUUAUUUUCUUAAAAGCGGAAAACAAAAUCCUCCUAAAUGAAGAAGUAAUUAAAACAUUAUUAUAAAUAAAAAUAUUUUUUAACAUAAUUUCAAAUGAAUUAUUUAAAAUUAAAGAAAGUUAUUACUUAUACAAAUAAAAACAUUAUUUUAAUAUGAAUCUCACAUACAUAAACUGUUUAGAAUUAAGUUAUGUAAGUGGGAUAGCAUCAAAAUAAUAUUUUUAUUGAUGAAUAACUCAUUUUAAUUUUAAUUAAUAUAUCUUGAAACUACAUUAAAAUAACAUUCUUAUUUAUGAUAGUUGUUAUUUAUUACCGAAAGUACACAAUCGGAGACCCGUGCACUAUCUUACCAUCACUAAAAACUUCCACUUGCACAUGAUAACCUGAAAAUGUAUCUACAAAGAAUCUAGGAUCACUCAGGAUAUGCCCUCGUUGUGGUUCAUCCAAUCAUCCCACAACAUACACAAAAAUGCUACAUAGUACAGAAAGAAAAAGGAACAUUUUUGGGAUGAACUUUGGAACCUAAUCAUCCCAAAGGAAAAGGUGACAGACCCAACUAAUGUUUCUGCAUUUUCAUAUUUUCAUCUGAGAGUGGAAGGAUCAGUGAUGGUGAGGAUCUGGACCACCAGGACUUAGACGGUUGGGCUUAUAUUGUGUUCCCAACAACUGCUUCCUUUUUAUGAUCUCCUUCAACACUGUUUUGGCACUCUCCAAAAAUGCAUGAUUUUCGUUUGUGCUUGGAAGUGAAGAAGGAAGAGGCCUGGCAUCAUGGCAGACCAACAUUGAUGUGAAGAAAAGGACAAGGCAUAAAUGUUUCAAACUUGCCAUUGAAAAGGAUUUCAAGAUAUGUAUCGAAACCAGCCAAAGUGGUGCAGAGAUUCUAAGCUGUGAUAGUUGGAAUAUAUAUAGGCUCAUGAAAUUGUCGUUUAGUUAUGAAUUUUUAUUUGACACAUGUGUAGGAAAAUAAUAUAUGGGUCAAAUAGCAUUCAUAGUGAUGAUGGUAAAUUGGUUCUGUCGUCAGAUAUAUAGCGUGCGCACUUCUAUUGCAAAGUCAAUCACUGAUGAGUGCUUAGUUUUUAAUAAACUACAUAAUCAAUGUUCUUAUCGGAUCUCUAUAAGGUAAACCAGA